GUUAACGUAGCAAAACCUGGGUUUGCGAAAGAUCUAAGCCCUUUACAUAGAAGUUCAAAUCUUCUCGUUAACU
rnacentral:tRNA from 1 species